rnacentral:rRNA from 1 species
GAUGAACGCUAGCGACAGGCUUAACACAUGCAAGUCGAGGGGUAGCAGGGAUAAAGCUUGCUUUAUUUGCUGACGACCGGCGCACGGGUGAGUAACGCGUAUGCAACCUACCUAUCAGUAAGGGAUAGCCCAUUGAAAGAUGGAUUAAUACCUUAUAAAGCAGGGAUCCCGCAUGGGAAUAUUUGCUAAAGAUUUAUUGCUGAUAGAUGGGCAUGCGUUCCAUUAGUUAGUUGGUGAGGUAACGGCUCACCAAGACAUCGAUGGAUAGGGGUUCUGAGAGGAAGGCCCCCCACACUGGUACUGAGACACGGCCCAAACUCCUACGGGAGGCAGCAGUGGGGAAUAUUGCACAAUGGGGGAAACCCUGAUGCAGCGACGCCGCGUGAAGGAAGAAGUAUUUCGGUAUGUAAACUUCUAUCAGCAGGGAAGAAAAUGACGGUACCUGACUAAGAAGCCCCGGCUAAUUACGUGCCAGCAGCCGCAGUAACAC